rnacentral:sRNA from 2 species
UACGUUGCGGGUUAUCUCAUGGACGAACCAUGAGAACGAAGGAUUCUGUCCACCUUAUUGGCCUGCCGUCCGUACGUUUCCAAUUCGUUUGUCUCCACUCUUAUUUGUUAUGAUAGACACUUUAUAUCUGGCGGCUGGCGUUUCAUGUAUAAUACACAUUGCCUUUUGGGAUUUUUGCAUAUAUUGGCGAUAGUAGGGUGUGUAAAAAAGGAAAAAGUUAAAAAAAAUUUUUUUUCAAAAAAAAUGGAGAAGAAGGAGAAGCAGACAGUACAAGGGAUGGGAGGGGUUGGAGUGGCCCAAAAAAAUCGAGAAGCGCACAUUCAGGGGGGCUCUUGUUCACAGUAUGAGCACGGCGAUGUAUACC